rnacentral:rRNA from 1 species
CGCCUCCUGUUACCUAUAGGAGGUCCAGCCUGCCCGGUGACCCAGUUUAACGGCCGCGGUAUCCUAACCGUGCGAAGGUAGCGUAAUCACCUGUUUUUUAAUUGAAGACCUGUAUGAAAGGCAUCACGAGAAUCGUACUGUCUCCUUUUUCUAAUCAGUGAAACUAAUCUCCCCGUGAAAAAGCGGGAAUACAAAUACAAGACGAGAAGACCCUUUGGAGCUUAAGACAAAGUAACGUCUUGCAUCCUCCACUUAACCUAUAUAUUUAAGCACUCACGCUACAAGUCUUCGGUUGGGGCAACCGCGGAGUAAAAUAAACCCUCCAAGUUGAACGGAAUUUUCCUAAGCAAAAAACCACAACUUUAUGCAUCAAUAAAUUGACAUCAUGACCCAAUAUUUUGAUUAUCGAACCAAGUUACCCUAGGGAUAACAGCGCAAUCCACUUCAAGAGUUCAUAUCGACAAGUGGGCUUACGACCUCGAUGUUGGAUCAGGGUAUCCCAGUGGUGCAGCCGCUACUAAUGGUUCGUUCGUUCAACG